rnacentral:lncRNA from 1 species
CUUCUGUCUACCUCAUAGAAGCAGCUUCACAGCCCAGGCAAGUCACAGAGUAUUAGAAAAAAAUACCUGCAAUUCUCAGAAGAACAAAAUAAGUUCCAGAAUAGCUGUAGUGUCCAGUUUUCAACAACAACAAAAAAAUGUUUUUAUAAAAAAAAUACACAAAAUCAGGAUCAAAAUUGUCAAUAGAAACUAACUUGAAGUGGUCAGGGGUUAGAUAUAAUAGAUAUAAUCUUCCAAAUAGUAUUGUAAAUAUGUAUUUUUUAAAAAACUUAAAAAUUGUUCAAGUAAUUCAAGAAAAAGGUAUAAUAUUGAGCAAAAUAUUCUAACAAAAUGGAAACUAUGAAACAACUAAAAAUUCUAAAGCUAAAAAAAAAUCUUAAUUAAAACAAAAAACAGAUGGUAAAAUCAAGUUCGAUUUUAGAUGGUACAACAAAAUUAGUAUAAAGAUAGACCAAUAAUAAGUAUUCCAUCUGAAUGUGAGAGAGGGAGAAAAUGAAAAACUUUUGCCAAAAUUUCAAGUGGGACAGCACAAAAAGAUAUCAGAAAGGAGAAGACAGAGAAAUGGCCAGAAAAAAAAAAAGUAGUGUAAAAUUUCCUAAAUUUGUUGAAAACGAUGAACUUAUAAAUCUAAGCUCUAUAAAACCCAAAUAGAAGGAAAAUAGAGAAAAUCAUACUCAGACACACCAAAUUCACAUAAGAAAAUCCAAUAAUAUAAUAAAGCACUGAUAGAAAAAUGAUAUAUUAUAUUGAUAGGGAUUAUAUUAUGAUUGAUGUUUGACCUUUUUUUUUGGUAUAGGGGAUUGAACCUAGGGGCGUUGUACCAUUGAGCUAUAUCCCCACAUUCUCAGCCUUUUUAUAGUUUAUUUUGAGACAAGGUCUCACUAAGUUGCCCAGGUGGGCCUUGAACUUGCAAUUCUCUGGCUUCAGUCUCCUUAGCGGGAUGCCUGACUUUUCCUCAGAAACGACAGAGGCUUGAUGAUAUGGGAAUGACCCCAUUUAAAGUUCUGAAAGAAAAGCAGCUAUUAUUCAAGAAAUCCAUAGAUCAGAUAAAUUAUUCUUUUAAAUUAAAGCUAAAAUAGGUUUAGAAUUUUUGAAAGUGAGAGAUUUAAUGUUAGUAGAACUACACUGUUUAAAUGUUACAGAAAGUCUUUCAGACUAAAGAAAAUUGCACCACAUAGAAAUUCAGAUAUACAGAAGAGACCAAAGAUUACCAAAAAGGAUAAAUGCAUGUUAUAUGAAUUAUUAUAUAUAGUUUCUAUUCACUUAUUUGAAAAUAUAUGCAUCUUUAAAACAAAAUUUAUACUAUGAUAGUAUUGGGAUUAUAAUGUAUAUAUAUAAAAACUAUCCAAAGAAUGGAGUAAUAAGCAACUAUACUUUCAAAAUUUUCUAUAUGCAACUGAAAACCAUUAGUUAAGAACAUUUAGAUAAGUCAAAAUUACAUGAUAUAAUCUCUAAGCAACUGGUAGUAAUUGAAAUGUAUAUGUUAAAAAUGCUAAUACUAGAUUAUGAUGCAAUACUACAAAAUAUUUGCUUAAUACAAAAGAAAACAGAAAAGAAAGGGUAUAGGAACAAAACAGAAAUGAAACAAAAUUUCUGAAACUCAGCUAAAUUGCAGACAUAAAUAACAUCGUAUACAUAGUUUUAUUAGAUGUGAAUUGACUAAACACACACAAAAAAAGGUAGACAAUAUCAAACUGGAUGUAAAAGCAAAACUUUUAUUAAAGACUCAGCUCCCUCAAAAAGAUACAAGUUUUAAAAAAAGACAAAUAAUUUGAAAGAAAAAGAACAGAAAGCAAGGUAAAAUCAGAAUAAGCAUGAGGAAGCUAGAGUUAUAUAACAAUAUAAGACAAACUUCUAGCCAAGGAAUAUUCCUACAGAAAACGUAAGACAUUUCGUAAACUUAAAAAGAUCAAUACAACAAAAAGAUGCAAAAAUUAUAAAUACAUUUGUAAUUAUUAUUACAGAGCUCCCCAAACAGGCAGAACCGAAAGAAAAAAUAGUAAAAUUUAACACCAUCAAGAGUUCAAAGCUCAUCUCACGACUUGAUAACCUAGACAGAAAAUCAUGACAAACAUCCAAGACUUGAACUGAGCAGUCAACUGGUUGACAAGUACAGAAAACACUAUAAGACAACAUAACAUAAAACACAACCUCUCAAGCCAUAGAGUACUUACAAUAUAGACCAGAGACCAUGCAGCAAUGCCUGAAAAAUUAAAAGAACCAUAGUCCUACAGAAUGUGUUCUCUGAUAAAAACAAAAUUAAACUCGAAUUAAAAGCAAAAACAUGUCUGGAAAUUCUCCCAAAUAUUUGUAAAUCAAACAGCACAGUUGUAAGUAAUCCAUUGGAUAAAAAGGAAAUCAAAAGAAGAAGAAGAUAUAUGGAGAAAAAUAAUAAUGCACUUGUGAUCUAUCAAUUUGUGGAAUUAAAUUUAGUACUUAAAGGGAAAUUUAUAGCAUUUUAUGUUUA